CUGGAAUCCGGGGGAGAACUUCAUGACGACAGUAAUGACAUAAGAUGGCACACCCAGUAGGACGUGCUUUGAAUAAAACACUUAACACUUAACCAAUUAUUGAUGUAUUAUUUCAUGUUAUCUCUGACAGUGCUUAUGAUGUAAUUGUGCUUUAUAAGGGACAUGUCGUCCCCCCUGAAUAAACAUUCCAGAGUAUUUCAUCAACCGGGAAACAUGUGUCUGGUGUGAUUUACUUUGGAAAGCAUGCACCAUAACUAAUUUGGAAAGGGGCAGAUACACAAAAAUAAUUAAUUGAUUAAAAUUUAUUUCCACUUCAAUUGGCGCCCAAGACGUGGGGCACCGGAUUUGCCGGUUCGGAGGGCCGGAAACCAAGGACUGGAGCGGACCCCCAGAAAAUGGGACAACCGGAACCUGAUCACCUCCAAAAUGCAG